UACGAAGGGGGCUAGCGUUGCUCGGAAUCACUGGGCGUAAAGCGCACGUAGGCGGCUUUCUAAGUCAGGGGUGAAAUCCUGGAGCUCAACUCCAGAACUGCCUUUGAUACUGGGGAGCUCGAGUCUGGAAGAGGUGAGUGGAACUCCGAGUGUAGAGGUGAAAUUCGUAGAUAUUCGGAAGAACACCAGUGGCGAAGGCGGCUCACUGGUCCGGUACUGACGCUGAGGUGCGAAAGCUAGGGGAGCAAACGGG
rnacentral:rRNA from 1 species